rnacentral:rRNA from 1 species
GAAGGCUAUGUUAGCCGGGCGACGGUUGUCCCGGUUUAAGCAUGUAGGCUGGUUGUCCAGGCAAAUCCGGAUAAUCAAGGCUGAGGUGUGAUGACGAGGCACUACGGUGCUGAAGUAACAAAUGCCCUGCUUCCAGGAAAAGCCUCUAAGCAUCAGGUAACAUCAAAUCGUACCCCAAACCGACACAGGUGGUCAGGUAGAGAAUACCAAGGCGCUUGAGAGAACUCGGGUGAAGGAACUAGGCAAAAUGGUGCCGUAACUUC